rnacentral:rRNA from 1 species
GGUAUGUAAAGCUCUAUCAGCAGGGAAGAAAAUGACGGUACCUGACUAAGAAGCCCCGGCUAACUACGUGCCAGCAGCCGCGGUAAUACGUAGGGGGCAAGCGUUAUCCGGAUUUACUGGGUGUAAAGGGAGCGUAGACGGCAUGGCAAGCCAGAUGUGAAAACCCAGGGCUCAACCUUGGGAUUGCAUUUGGAACUGCCAGGCUGGAGUGCAGGAGAGGUAAGCGGAAUUCUUAGUGUAGCGGUGAAAUGCGUAGAUAUUAGGAGGAACACCAGUGGCGAAGGCGGCUUACUGGACUGUAACUGACGUCGAGGCUCGAAAGCGUGGGGAGCAAACAGGAUUAGAUACCCUGGUAGUCCACGCGGUAAA